rnacentral:rRNA from 1 species
AUACGUAGGGAGCAAGCGUUGUCCGGAAUUAUUGGGCGUAAAGGGUGCGUAGGCGGUAUUGUAAGUCAGAUGUGAAAUCCCCAGGCUUAACUUGGGAGUUGCAUUUGAAACUGCAGUACUUGAGUAAAGAAGAGGUAAGUGGAAUUCCUAGUGUAGCGGUGGAAUGCGUAGAUAUUAGGAGGAACACCAGUGGCGAAGGCGACUUACUGGUCUUUUACUGACGCUGAGGCACGAAAGCGUGGGGAGCAAACAGGAUUAGAUACCCUGGUAGUCCACGCUGUAAACGAUGGAUACUAGGUGUGGGGGACAUACAACCUCUGUGCCGGAGCAAACGCAUUAAGUAUCCCGCCUGGGGAGUACGGUCGCAAGGCUGAA